rnacentral:rRNA from 1 species
CGGGGUGCAGCAGGCGCGAAAACUUUACAAUGCCGGCAACGGCGAUAAGGGAACCUCGAGUGCCAGGUUACAAAUCUGGCUGUCGUGAUGCCUAAAAAGCAUUGCAUAGCAAGGGCCGGGCAAGACCGGUGCCAGCCGCCGCGGUAACACCGGCGGCUCGAGUGGUAACCGUUAUUAUUGGGUCUAAAGGGUCUGUAGCCGGCCGGGUAAGUCUCUUGGGAAAUCUGGCAGCUUAACUGUCAGGCUUUCAGGAGAUACUGCCUGGCUCGAGGCCGGGAGAGGUGAGAGGUACUUCAGGGGUAGGGGUGAAAUCUUGUAAUCCUUGAAGGACCACCAGUGGCGAAGGCGUCUCACCAGAACGGACCUGACGGCAAGGGACGAAAACUAGGGGCACGAACCGGAUUAGAUACCCGGGUAGUCCUAGCCGUAAACGAUACUCGCUAGGUGUCGGCCACGGUGCGACCGUGGUCGGUGCCGUAGGGAAGCCGUGAAGCGAGCCACCUGGGAAGUACGGCCGCAAGGCUGAAACUUAAAGGAAUUGGCGGGGGAGCACAAGGGCGAUUCGCG